CUGGGUGCUGCACCUGCCCGGCCCUGCCCGGCCCUGCCCGGCCCUGCCCCGGAGAGAAGGCCCCCAGCUCCUGCGCGCAAACUGGAGAAGGGUGCCUCACCUGAACCCGAAGCACCCGAAGACAACCCGUUCCGGUGCAGAGGCGUAGAGGAUGUGCUGCUUAGCGAUGGGGAAUAUAUAGCAGCGAUGCCACCUUCCUUUGCAACCUGAAUACAGGGGCACAAGGAAGCUCGACCUGUGCGAAAUGGCUGUCUUCAUCCCCAACUCCAAACCUCAGGGUAAUCGUAGAUUGGCAACAAUGUCCCAGCCCCUCAAGAACCCUGUGCAAAGAAAGGCAUGAAGCUCAACUUUCACCUCUGCCAAGAAAGAAAGCCUCUCACUGAAGCUCCCAGGAUUGGAGAGUGUUCUUAGGAGAACCAGCCCCUGCCAGGAGACAAGAAUGGUUUAUUUUGACGACAACAUCCUCACACGUGUGUCCCUGCAUAUCCGGUACCCUGGCUGUGUGUCAGUUUCUUGCUCAGGGAAGCUGUCAUUGGGAUUCUGUGGGGGGAAAUGUUCCAAAGGAAUCAAUUAAUGUUGCCAGCAACAAGUUCAAUACCACGCACUGAGUCCCCCUGCUUUAUAUCAGUGCAUGAAUGAAUUACUGGUGCUCAUAUAAUUUGCAAAUAAUCAUCAUUAUAAUGCAGUGGAAAAUUUCUCUUGUGCAGGUAGCCUAGGUAGCAUCUAAGCAGAGAGCUGCAAUACCUCUCCCCAUUACACCCCCUAAAAUAAUUACUUACAUACAUAUGUGAGGUUUUACUUCCAGGUCUUUUAAUAUAGAACUAUCUAUGUGGACACAAGGUCACCUCUUGUUCUCAUUAAACCAAUCUGAACAAAGUGUGAUAAUUCUUAAGGGAAAUCAACGCUGAAAAUGCUUUUGACUUUUUGGAGACAUGGGCAGAAUACAUCAUCAGGUUAGGCUCAGCAUGCAACAGUUCUAAACUCCAGAUAUGGCAUCUAUCUGCUCAUGUU